UGUUGUAUUCAGCAUUUCACUGUAAGGUCUACUACACCUGUUGUAUUCAGCAUUUCACUGUGAGGUCUACUACACCUGUUGUGUUCAGCAUUUCACUGUGAGGUCUACUACACCUGUUGUAUUCAGCAUUUCACUGUAAGGUCGACUACACCUGUUGUAUUCAGCAUUUCACUGUGAGGUCUACUACACCUGUUGUAUUCAGCAUUUCACUGUAAGGUCGACUACACCUGUUGUAUUCAGCAUUUCACUGUGAGGUCUACUACACCUGUUGUAUUCAGCAUUUCACUGUAAGGUCUACUACACCUGUUGUAUUCAGCAUUUCACUGUGAGGUCUACUACACCUGUUGUAUUCAGCAUUUCACUGUAAGGUCUACUACACCUGUUGUAUUCAGCAUUUCACUGUAAGGUCUACUACACCUGUUGUAUUCAGCAUUUCACUGUAAGGUCUACUACACCUGUUGUAUUCAGCAUUUCACUGUAAGGUCUACUACACCUGUUGUAUUCAGCAUUUCACUGUAAGGUCUACUACACCUGUUGUAUUCAGCAUUUCACUGUAAGGUCUACUACACAUGUUUUAUUCAGCAUUUCACUGUAAGGUCUACUACACCUGUUGUAUUCAGCAUUUCACUGUAAGGUCUACUACACCUGUUGUAUUCAGCAUUUCACUGUAAGGUCUACUACACCUGUUGUAUUCAGCAUUUCACUGUAAGGUCUACUACACCUGUUGUAUUCAGCAUUUAACUGUAAUGUCUACUACACCUGUUGUUAUCAUCAUUUAACUGUGAGGUCUACUACACCUGUUGUAUUCAGCAUUUCACUGUAAGGUCUACUACACCUGUUGUAUUCAGCAUUUCACUGUAAGGUCUACUACACCUGUUGUAUUCAGCAUUUCACUGUAAGGUCUACUACACCUGUUGUAUUCAGCAUUUAACUGUAAUGUCUACUACACCUGUUGUUAUCAUCAUUUAACUGUGAGGUCUACUACACCUGUUGUAUUCAGCAUUUCACUGUAAGGUCUACUACACCUGUUGUAUUCAGCAUUUCACUGUAAGGUCUACUACACCUGUUGUAUUCAGCAUUUAACUGUAAUGUCUACUACACCUGUUGUAUUCAGCAUUUAACUGUGAGGUCUACUACACCUGUUGUAUUCAGCAUUUCACUGUAAGGUCUACUACACCUGUUGUAUUCAGCAUUUAACUGUAAGGUCUACUACACCUGUUGUAUUCAGCAUUUCACUGUAAGGUCUACUACACCUGUUGUAUUCAGCAUUUCACUGUAAGGUCUACUACACCUGUUGUAUUCAGCAUUUCACUGUAAGGUCUACUACACCUGUUGUAUUCAGCAUUUCACUGUAAGGUCUACUACACCUGUUGUAUUCAGCAUUUCACUGUAAGGUCUACUACACCUGUAGUAUUCAGCAUUUCACUGUGAGGUCUACUACACCUGUUGUAUUCAGCAUUUCACUGUGAGGUCUACUACACCUGUUGUAUUCAGCAUUUCACUGAGGUCUACUACACCUGUUGUAUUCAGCAUUUCACUGUAAGGUCUACUACACAUGUUGUAUUCAGCAUUUCACUGUGAGGUCUACUACACAUGUUGUAUUCAGCAUUUCACUGUAAGGUCUACUACACCUGUUGUAUUCAGCAUUUCACUGUAAGGUCUACUACACCUGUUGUAUUCAGCAUUUCACUGUAAGGUCUACUACACCUGUUGUAUUCAGCAUUUCACUGUAAGGUCUACUACACCUGUUGUAUUCAGCAUUUCACUGUAAGGUCUACUACACCUGUUGUAUUCAGCAUUUCACUGUAAGGUCUACUACACCUGUUGUAUUCAGCAUUUCACUGUGAGGUCUACUACACCUGUUGUAUUCAGCAUUUCACUGUGAGGUCUACUACACCUGUUGUAUUCAGCAUUUCACUGAGGUCUACUACACCUGUUGUAUUCAGCAUUUCACUGUAAGGUCUACUACACAUGUUGUAUUCAGCAUUUCUCUGUAAGGUCUACUACACCUGUUGUAUUCAGCAUUUCACUGUAAGGUCUUCUACACCUGUUGUAUUCAGCAUUUCACUGUAAGGUCUACUACACCUGUUGUAUUCAGCAUUUCACUGUAAGGUCUACUACACCUGUUGUAUUCAGCAUUUCACUGUAAGGUCUACUACACCUGUUGUAUUCAGCAUUUCACUGUAAGGUCUACUACACCUGUUGUAUUCAGCAUUUCACUGUAAGGUCUACUACACCUGUUGUAUUCAGCAUUUCACUGUAAGGUCUACUACACCUGUUGUAUUCAGCAUUUCACUGUAAGGUCUACUACACCUGUUGUAUUCAGCAUUUCACUGUAAGGUCUACUACACCUGUUGUAUUCAGCAUUUCACUGUGAGGUCUACUACACCUGUUGUAUUCAGCAUUUCACUGUGAGGUCUAUUACACCUGUUGUAUUCAGCAUUUCACUGUGAGGUCUAUUACACCUGUUGUAUUCAGCAUUUCACUGUAAGGUCUACUACACCUGUUGUAUUCAGCAUUUCACUGUAAGGUCUACUACACCUGUAGUAUUUGGCGCAUGUGACAAAUCAUAUUUGAUUUGUUGCUGUUUUUUAAAUAUAUAUUUUUAGGCCCCCUUUGUUGUUACUAAGUGGGUAAUACCGUAUAUCACAGUAUGAGAGAAGGACGGUAUGAGGAUAUGAAAACCUGGAUACCCGUCAAAAGCUUAGGCCUCCGCAUCAACCGGUACCGGGACCACUGGACAAGUGGGACGCUCUCAGAGAGCUGGGUCUGCGUCUAUCAAAAAGGGUCAAGUACAAAACGGAGGAAGUUAAUCUGUAGCUUAGAUUUAAUUUAAAUUAAAUUAAAAAGUGGACACAAAUGAUUUUUUUUUUUUUAAACUAACAAACUACUAGACUUAUGGAAGAGUGUACCACCCAGGCCAGUCCAAUAGCCAACACAUGGUGUGGAACCUACAAAAAAGCCCAUACAGUACCGACCAAUACUACUCACCGGACAGACGGGGGGCAGGUGUGGAUCAGUGCUGCCACGGCAACAGGCUUCCGUUACCAGUCGCCUUGACAUCAGUCAACAAGUUCCAACUUCAACUUGAGAGUGGAGCAUGUGCCAUGUACCAAUACCAUUGUACCCAAUAGUGGAGACAUUUUGACUUGAUAAAGAGUGGACAGAUCCACACCUGAAUGAU